GACUCCAUGGCCUAAUGGAUAAAGUGCUGGUUACGAAACCAGAGAUUCUUGGUUUGAUCCCCAAUGGAGUUG
rnacentral:tRNA from 1 species